rnacentral:sRNA from 1 species
UAAUAUUGCUUGUCUUUUGAUGGUUUUGCAGCAAGAACCAAAGAGGUUACCUUGUCAGAGACGGAACUCGAGCUGUUAACCCUUCUCCGACGUGGUCAGACCGACUGGGCCACAUUCAGCAAGGAUCGCAUAGUAGCUGCUCUCCCCGUAGCUCUAGUAGUUCCAGCAAUUGCCCUUCCGGCAGCGCAGCGAGGUCCGAUCGAAGAGGUCGCGCAGGUUGAACCGAACCCCGAGGCAGAUCUGCCUAUAGGUACGAGUUUCAUCAUUUUUUU